UACGUAGGGUGCGAGCGUUAAUCGGAAUUACUGGGCGUAAAGCGUGUGCAGGCGGUUUGUUAAGACAGGUGUGAAAUCCCCGGGCUUAACCUGGGAAUUGCGCUUGUUACUGGCAAGCUAGAGUGCGUCAGAGGGAGGUGGAAUUCCACGUGUAGCAGUGAAAUGCGUAGAGAUGUGGAGGAACACCGGUGGCGAAGGCGGGUCUCUGGGCCGAUACUGACGCUGAGGAGCGAAAGCGUGGGGAGCGAACAGG
rnacentral:rRNA from 1 species